rnacentral:lncRNA from 1 species
AUAAAAUUAGACAUGACUGUUGCUAUGAAAAGACACAGUAUAAAUAAGUUGAACUAUCUUGAUGACAAUGCCUGCUGCAUUUGGUAUCUUGGUGUAGUUCUAAAAGUGUUAUUAAAUCACGGGAUGAAUGGAUCACGAUGAUCAACAAAACCACUUGCUACUUUUGUUCUCGUUGCCCCAGCAAGGCUGCUCUGGUCUUUGAACUGGAAUGGAAGCCGGCUGUCACCUUGAGCCUCAACUCCCUUGUUUAUGCAGCUCUGUCAGAACUUUCCACCAGGACUCAGACCCCAUCCCUGGCCAUCCAGUCAUGGUAGGGAGGGCAGGUAUGUACAUUGUUAAAGAAAACAUGUAGCUUUGCGUUUUUAAAGAAGAGACACAUUAAAAAAUCAUACUCAGGGCGCCUGGGGGGCUCAGUCAGUUAAGCGUCUGACUUUGGCUCAGGUCAUGAUCUCGCAGUUUGCGGGUUCGAGCCCCGCGUCGGGCUCUGUGCUGACAGCUCGGAGCCUGGAGCCUGCUUCGGAUUCUGUGUCUCCCUCUCUCUCUGCUCCUCCCCUGCUCAAGCUCUGUUCUCUCUCUCUCUCAAAAACAAACUAAAAAAAUCAUACUCAAGUGUGGCUACAUUAUAAUUCCAAGCACAUUUCAGAAAGCCAUCUCUAUAGAGAAUAUUUUCCCACAAACAUGAUCAUUGCUAAUAAGAAUAUUUGACAUUGGUUAGAAAUACCAGGAGCUCUGGCUUUAAGGGGCAAUUUCUAAGGUUUAUGAAA